GAUGAACGCUGGCGGCGUGCCUAACACAUGCAAGUCGAGCGAUUCUCUUCGGAGAAGAGCGGCGGACGGGUGAGUAACGCGUGGGUAACCUGCCUCAUACACAUGGAUAACAUACCGAAAGGUAUGCUAAUACAAGAUAAUAUAAGAGAUUCGCAUGUGUCUCUUAUCAAAGCUCCGGCGGUAUGAGAUGGACCCGCGUCUGAUUAGCUAGUUGGUAAGGUAACGGCUUACCAAGGCGACGAUCAGUAGCCGACCUGAGAGGGUGAUCGGCCACAUUGGAACUGAGACACGGUCCAAACUCCUACGGGAGGCAGCAGUGGGGAAUAUUGCACAAUGGGCGAAAGCCUGAUGCAGCAACGCCGCGUGAGCGAUGAAGGCCUCCGGGUCGUAAAGCUCUGUCCUCAAGGAAGAUAAUGACGGUACUUGAGGAGGAAGCCCCGGCUAACUACGUGCCAGCCGCCGCCGUAAUAC
rnacentral:rRNA from 1 species